rnacentral:rRNA from 1 species
GAUGAACGCUGGCGGCGUGCCUAAUACAUGCAAGUCGAGCGAAGCGGGGACGGGUGAGUAACACGUGGAUAACCUCCUAUAAGACUGGAAUAACUUCGGGAACCCGAAGCUAAACCGGUUACUUAUAGAUGGAUCUUGGCUGCAUGAGCUAGUUGGUAAGGUAACGGCUUACCAAGGCCACGAUGCCUAGGCGGCCUGAGAGGGUGAUCGGCCAAACUGGAACUGAGACACGGCCCAGACUCCUACGGGAGGCAGCAGUGGGGAAUGUUCCGCAAUGGGCGAAAGCCUGACGGAGCCACGCCGCGUGAGUGAUGAAGGUCUUCGGGUUGUAAAACUCUGUUAUUAGGGAAGCGGUACCGAAUCAGGAAGCCCCGGCUAACUACGUGCCAGCAGCCGCGGUAAUAC